AACCUAGCACACCUGCGGUGUGUACCUGCGGAGGGAUCAUUACCUAGAGUUGCGGGCUUUGCCUGCCAUCUCUUACCCAUGUCUUUUGAGUACCUUCGUUUCCUCGGCGGGUUCGCCCGCCGGUUGGACAACACUUAAACCCUUUGUAAUUGAAAUCAGCGUCUGAAAAAACUUUAAUAGUUACAACUUUCAACAACGGAUCU
rnacentral:misc_RNA from 1 species